UGCGCAGGCGGUUCUGCAAGUCAGAUGUGAAAUCCCCGGGCUUAACCUGGGAACUGCGUUUGAAACUACGGAGCUAGAGUGCGGCAGAGGGGGUGGAAUUCCACGUGUAGCAGUGAAAUGCGUAGAUAUGUGGAGGAACACCGAUGGCGAAGGCAGCCCCCUGGGCCGACACUGACGCUCAGGCACGAAAGCGUGGGAGCAAACA
rnacentral:rRNA from 1 species